CCUUUUGUAAAAAGUGCACUAGAAGUGUCACUCAAAUUCAGUUGAAGUUUUGUAUAAAGAAAAUUUAUAUUUUUUUUUCGUUUUAUUUUUAAUUUUCUGGUCCCAUAAUAUUUUACAGUUCUGAAAUUUCUCUUGUAAUAAAUCAUAAAUGCUCAUUUUUGUUUUAUUUUUUAUCAUAAAUCCAGUGCGCUGCGAACAUAGUAUAAUGAAUGACGUAGAGAGGCUGCAUCUUAAUAAACCAGCGAAUCUGGGUCAAUUUCCUUAUUUGAUAGCACUACUUUAUCGGAAUUAUAGAAUUAAGUGCACGGGAGUACUGUUGACACAAUAUCAUAUUUUAACUGCAGCAAGAUGUGUAAUAACCAGAGAAACGGAUUUGGACCAAAGUGAUCUUAAGUAUGCCAUGGCUGGGGACAUCAUCCAUGUAGAAAAUGUUGCUAAUGCCUAUCAAGAGUUACGUGAAAUUAAUGUGAUUCUUAUUCAUCCUGAAUAUGUCGGUAGUAAGAAUAUUCGGUUCGACAUUGCUGUGCUGAAGGUACAACUGUCUGUGCGUACUCUUGAUGUUGCUAGCUAAUCGGUUUUUAUAUAUGGACAGGUCGAAGAAAAGUUUCCGUUGAAUAAGUACUUGCAUUAUGCGAAAUUUGGGGGCUAUUCACCAAUUGAAUGGUGGUAUCAACGUGAACUCACUUUAGUAGGUUGGGGUGAAUUUUUGCCGUUAUUAUUAUUAAUUUUCAGGGUGGCAACUGUGAUCACCGCUUACGAUAUUCACCGGUACAAAUGAGUCCCAAAGGCACUUGUAGUCUUCCCAAAGGAGAGGAUCUUUUCUGUGGAGAGAAUAAAUAUGGCUGCAAUGGUGCCGUGGGAUCACCAUUGAUGGUGGGAAAGGAAGUCCGAGGACUUUACCUUGAAUCACGCUACAAUGAAACUCUCCGUAAAACUUUUUCCAUAUAUCUGCGCAUUCAUCACCAACUUUUUUGGAUUUACCAAGCUCUGGCCUCAGAAAAAUUUUCUUCACCGAAAUUGAAGCAAUCUUCUCAAACUAAUAACACUGGAGUGGUUUUGUCCGAAUCAUCGAAAGAUAGGUUGAACUAUCCAUUAUUAUUCGUUACAAUAGUAACUUAUUUAAGUUAUUAAAUACGGUUACUCAAGCCUGUAAGGAAUGUUGUUCCUUAUCGAUUCAGCUUAUGUGAAAUGUAUCCUUAGUGUUGUGAAGCAGUAACAAUCGAAGCAGAAACUUUCAAAGUAAUGUCAUGUAAUCGAUGUUGAUAGGACUAACACGCCAAGUGAAUUUUCAAAUUAAAAGUUAGAAUAUCGAAGUAUUUAUUUCAUUGCUGAUAUGCCAAGUCAUCCAUAAUGAUGUGUAAAUUCAGAUAAUUCUUGUUUAUCUUACGCAAAAUUUUUGUC